UACAACGAAACUGCGAAUGGCUCGGUAAAACAGCAAUAAUUUAUUCGGGGGUAACUGCUACUUGGAUAACCGUAGUAAAGCUAGAGCUAAUACGUGCUACAAAGGCGAGCUUCGCUCGUGGUGCUAAGUAUUAGGUACAAGCCAAUUUUUUUGGUGAUUCAUACUUAUUUUCUGAUCGCACUCUGUGCGACGCCCCGAAUAAAUUUCUGACCUAUCAACUAUGAUGGUAAGGUAGUGUCUUACCAUGGUUGUGACGGGUAACGGACCGUGGGUGCGGGAUUCCGGAGAGGGAGCCUGAGAAACGGCUACCACAUCCAAGGAAGGCAGCAGGCGCGCAACUUACCCAAUCCGAACUUCGGGAGGUAGUGACAAAAAAUAUCAAUAGGGGGACCAAUGGUCUUCCUAAUUGGAAUGAAAACAAUCUAAACACCUUAUUGAGGAACCAGCAGAGGGCAAGUCUGGUGCCAGCAGCCGCGGUAAUUCCAGCUCUGUAAGCGUAUACCAAAGUUGUUGCAGUUAAAACGCUCGUAGUCGAAUUUUGGCGUUAGUUACUGAGACUCCUACUGGACGUUGACGUAACUACGCCUUUGUGGAGGGGAGUGCGGUGUUACUUCAUUGUAUUGCUGUAUUUCCACCACUUUUUACUGUGAAAAAAUUAGAGUGUUCAAAGCGAGCGUUUGCCAUGAAUACAUUAGCAUGGAAUAAUAGAAUAGGACCUGGUCCUGUUUUAUUGGUUUGUCAGUAUCAGGUAAUGAUUAACAGGGACGGUCGGGGGCAUUUGUAUUCCAGCGCUAGAGGUGAAAUUCUUGGAUUGCUGGAAGACAAACAGCUGCGAAAGCGUCUGCCAAGGACGUUUUCAUUGAUCAAGAACGAAAGUAAGGGGAUCGAAGACGAUCAGAUACCGUCGUAGUCUUUACUAUAAACUUUGAGAACUAGGACAUCGGACGUGGCCUUAUUGGUACGUUCGGCACCUUCCGGGAAACCAAAGUGUUUGCUUUCUGGGGGGAGUAUGGUCGCAAGUCUGAAACUUAAAGGAAUUGACGGAAGGGCAUCACCGGGUGUGGAGCCUGCGGCUUAAUUUGACUCAACACGGGAAAACUUACCAGGUCCAGACAUAGUAAGGAUUGACAGAUUGAGAGCUCUUUCUUGAUUCUAUGGUUGGUG
rnacentral:rRNA from 1 species